rnacentral:misc_RNA from 1 species
GGAUCUUUCCAUGUUGUGUCCCUGAGCUCAAACUCUGAGCUUUACACGUGGGGAAAGGGAGGAAAUGGACAGCUAGGACAUGGGGACAAUCAUGAUAGGAACACUCCUACACUGGUUGAAGCGCUGAAAGCAAAAAAAGUAAAGGAUGUGGUCUGUGGAAAUAAUUUUACUGCAGCCAUUUGUCUACACAGAGAAGUGUCUCUCGCUGAUAAUUCCAUUUGUG